CUACGGUCAAAUCAAAUUGAAAACACCGAUUCUAGUUCGGUCACCGAAGUUAAGCAGUGUCAAGCCCGAUCAGUACUUAGAUGGGGGACCGCUUGGGAACACCGGUUACUGUAA